GACGAACGCUGGCGGCGUGCUUAACACAUGCAAGUCGAGCGGAAAGGCCACUUCGGUGGUACUCGAGCGGCGAACGGGUGAGUAACACGUGAGUAAUCUGCCCCUGGCUUUGGGAUAGCCACCGGAAACGGUGAUUAAUACCGGAUACGACCACUUCUCGCAUGGGAUGGUGGUGGAAAGUUUUUCGGCCAGGGAUGUGCUCGCGGCCUAUCAGCUUGAUGGUGGGGUAAUGGCUCCCCAUGGCUUCGACGGGUAGCCGGACUGAGAGGGUGACCGGUCACACUGGGACUCAGACACGGCCCAGACUCCUACGGGAGGCAGCAGUGGGGAAUAGUGGACAAUGGGCGGAAGCCUGAUCCAGCAACGCCGCGUGAGGGAUGACGGCCUUCGGGUUGUAAACCUCUUUCGGUGGGGACGAAGCGCAAGUGACGGUACCCACUAAAGAAGCACCGGCCAACUACGUGCCAGCCGCCGCGGUAAUAC
rnacentral:rRNA from 1 species